rnacentral:rRNA from 1 species
GACAGAGGUGCCGAGCGUUAGGCGGAAUCACUGGGCUUAAAGCGUGUGUAGGCGGGUCCGUAAGUACCUUGUGAAAUCCCACGGCUCAACCGUGGAACUGCUUGGUAUACUGCGGGUCUUGAGCCACCUAGGGGCAAGCGGAACAAACGGUGGAGCGGUGAAAUGCGUAGAUAUCGUUUGGAACGCCAAUGGUGAAAACAGGCUUGCUGGGGGUGUGCUGACGCUGAGACACGAAAGCCAGGGGAGCAAACGGG